rfam:Candidatus Nitrososphaera gargensis Ga9.2, complete genome.
GCCGGGGUAGCUCAGCUUGGUUAGAGCGUACGACUCAUAAUCUCAUGCAAUAAGAAAUCGUAAGGUCGCGGGCUCAAAUCCCGCCUCCGGCA